AUUGAACGCUGGCGGCAUGCCUUACACAUGCAAGUCGAACGGCAGCAUGGGUGCUUGCACCUGAUGGCGAGUGGCGAACGGGUGAGUAAUGCAUCGGAACGUACCCGGAAGUGGGGGAUAACGUAGCGAAAGUUACGCUAAUACCGCAUAUUCUGUGAGCAGGAAAGCGGGGGAUCGCAAGACCUCGCGCUUCCGGAGCGGCCGAUGUCGGAUUAGCUAGUUGGCGGGGUAAAGGCCCACCAAGGCAACGAUCCGUAGCGGGUCUGAGAGGAUGAUCCGCCACACUGGGACUGAGACACGGCCCAGACUCCUACGGGAGGCAGCAGUGGGGAAUUUUGGACAAUGGGGGCAACCCUGAUCCAGCCAUGCCGCGUGAGUGAAGAAGGCCUUCGGUUGUAAGACUCUUCGCUGGAGAAUACGCAUCUCCUAUACGGGUGGUGGAGUGACGGUACCAGCGAUAAGAAGCACCGGCUAACUACGUGCC
rnacentral:rRNA from 1 species